rnacentral:rRNA from 1 species
GAUGAACGCUGGCGGCGUGCCUAAUACAUGCAAGUCGAGCGAAUGGAUUAAGAGCUUGCUCUUAUGAAGUUAGCGGCGGACGGGUGAGUAACACGUGGGUAACCUGCCCAUAAGACUGGGAUAACUCAGGGAAACCGGGGCUAAUACCGGAUAAUAUUUUGAACUGCAUGGUUCAAAAUUGAAAGGCGGCUGCGGCUGUCACUUAUGGAUGGACCCGCGUCGCAUUAGCUAGUUGGUGAGGUAACGGCUCACCAAGGCGACGAUGCGUAGCCGACCUGAGAGGGUGAUCGGCCACACUGGGACUGAGACACGGCCCAGACUCCUACGGGAGGCAGCAGUAGGGAAUCUUCCGCAACGGACGAAAGUCUGACGGAGCAACGCCGCGUGAGUGAUGAAGGCUUUCGGGUCGUAAAACUCUGUUGUUAGGGAAGAACAAGUGCUAGUUGAAUAAGCUGGCACCUUGACGGUACCUAACCAGAAAGCCACGGCUAACUACGUGCCAGCCGCCGCCGUAA